CAAUAGCGUAUAUUAAAGUUGUUGCAGUUAGAACGCUCGUAGUCGGAUUUCGGGGCGGGCCGACCGGUCUGCCGAUGGGUACGCACUGGUCGGCGCGUCCUUCCUUCCGGAGACCGUUCCUACUCUUAACUGAGCGGGGACGGGAGACGGAUCGUUUACUUUGAAAAAAUCAGAGUGUUUCAAGCAGGCAGCUCGCUCUUGCAUGGAUUAGCAUGGGAUAAUGAAAUAGGACUUUGGUGCUAUUUUGUUGGUUUCGAACACCGAAGUAAUGAUUAAAAGGGACAGUCAGGGGCACUCGUAUUCCGCCGAGAGAGGUGAAAUUCUCAGACCAGCGGAAGACGAACUACUGCGAAAGCAUUUGCCAGGGAUGUUUUCACUG
rnacentral:rRNA from 1 species